rnacentral:rRNA from 1 species
AACGUAGGAGGCGAGCGUUAUCCGGAGUUACUGGGCGUAAAGCGCAUGUAGGCGGUUGGGCAAGUUGAGUGUGAAAGCUCCCGGCUAAACUGGGAGAGGACAUUUGAGACUGCUCGGCUAGAGGACGGUAGAGGGGCGUAGAAUUCCGGGUGUAGCGGUGAAAUGUGUAGAGAUCCGGAGGAAUACCAGUGGCGCAAGCGGCGCCCUGGGCCGUACCUGACGCUGAGAUGCGAAAGCGUGGGGAGCGAACGGGAUUAGAAACCCCCGUAGUCC